AAUGGUGUUGGAGUGGCAAUGACGGCGUCUUCGGAGUAUGUGAAGAAAUCUGAUCUCGAUGCUCUCAUUAAGGCUCUUAAGGAGUCAUCCGGAUAUUGAAUCAAGUAGGGUGCUUGGUCAAGGAGUUACAAAGGAUGGUCUUUAUGUUCUAGAAGACACAAAGCUAUCCGAACCUUUAUCUUCUCAUUUUAGUUCAAGUAUUGUUGUUGCGAAUAGUGCUAUUUGGCAUGCUAGACUAGGUCAUCCCCAUCCUCGGGCUUUAAGUUUAAUGCUACCAAAAGUUUCAUUUCAAAGUCUUGAUUGUGAAGCUUGUAUUCUUGGUAAACAUUGCAAAGCUAUUUUUCCUAAGUCGUCUACUAUUUAUGAAAGUUGCUUUGAUUUAAUUCAUUCGGAUGUGUGGACUUCACCUUAUUUAUCAAGAGAAAACCAAAAAUAUUUUGUCACAUUUAUUGAUGAAAAAUCAAAGUAUACUUGGCUUA